rnacentral:rRNA from 1 species
UACGUAGGGUACAAGCGUUACACGGAAUUCCUGGGCGUAAAGCGUGCGUCGGCGGUAGGUUAAGUCUGCUGUGAAAUCCCUGGGCUCAACCUGGGAAUGGCGAUGGAUACUGGCCUGCUGGAGUACGGCAGAGGAAGGUUGAAUUCCCGGUGUAGCGGUGAAAUGCGUAGAGAUUGGGAGGAACAUCAGGGGCGAAGGCGACCUUCUGCGCCAGUACUGACGCUGAGGCACGAAAGCGUGGGGAGCAAACAGG